AAAGCUCUAUAGCAGUUGUACAUUUCAAUAUGUUCAUUUUUUUAGUUUUAGUUGGUUUUGUAUUCGCAUUUCUGCUUUUUUAUUUUUAUUUUUUGUUGUUUUUAUCGAGCCUUGACACAAACACUGUUUCCCCUCAGUGACAGGAAUCUAAAAUGAAAUCUUUCUUUUUGAACUAACAGUAGUUCGUUAGAUGUUGACAGAGAGACAGAGCAGAAUGGCCGUUUUCAGAUGGAUUCAAAUUCCACUGUUUCUGAUGCUCCUUCAUUUGAAAGGUAAGAAAGUAAUUAAAUGCAAAAUAAACAGAAGCACAAUGAUGUCAUUUUGCAAGUUUUCUUCUCAAUGUAAAUAUACUGUUUGUUAAUUACUGCUUGUUUUCUUUGUGUUGAAAGAUAUGCAGGAUGUUGUUGUACAAUCAGUCCAGUUGCAACAGUAGCUGUGGUAUUUUGUUCCUAUUCUGAGAAGCUGGUAUAGAUGACAGGAAGAUGGAUGGAUGAUGAAAGGUUGCUUGCUUAAGAAUUGUCUCAUUUCUCAUAAAAAACUAAAAACCUCAAAGAUGUGUGUCAGCUCUGAAUAGACCUGUCAGCAGUUUAUCUGUAUUUAUUAUAUGUGAUGUUUGGGGUUAACAAAUUCUGAUUUAAAAUUCGAAAAGAGAUAAAAAUUAUAUUCAAAUUGCUCAAAUUUAUUAAGCUUAAUUCUCAUAUAAACAGUGAGUCAAAGAAUCUGUAUUCAGGAACUGAAAUUGACUAUUGAAUGUUUCAAAGAGAGCAGAAAUUUGCUUAGAUGAUCGAAAGUAAAAUAUCUGUGUAAUGAAAUCAGUUGUAUUGAAUGUGUUUACAUUGUUUACAUGCAGAACAGUGUCUGGGUUAUGAUUGGGUUUUUGGAGUAUCCUGGUUAUGUUUUGUGCAUAUUAACAGCUUACUGGUUAUGAAAUUGUAUUUAAUACUGCAUUAGAAACCAGGACACUCCAGCAUGUAAACAGCCUUUCCAGGUUUCUGAACGCUUUCAAUAUUUUUGUUCCUACACCUGACAUUAUUUUAUUGUUGGAUCUGUACAAAAUUAAUAUUAAAACAUGGGAAUUAAUAAAUCAUUUAACUGUUCUGUUUUACAGCAAUAACAGAUGAAGGGUUUUUCCUACCUUGUAAAUUAAUUUUGCCACCAGUAAUAACUUAUUAAUAAACUAAUAAAAAUAAAA